GACGAACGCUGGCGGCGUGCCUAAUACAUGCAAGUAGAACGCUGAAGGAGGAGCUUGCUUCUCUGGAUGAGUUGCGAACGGGUGAGUAACGCGUAGGUAACCUGCCUGGUAGCGGGGGAUAACUAUUGGAAACGAUAGCUAAUACCGCAUAAGAGUAGAUGUCGCAUGACAUUUGCUUAAAAGGUGCAAUUGCAUCACUACUAGAUGGACCUGCGUCGUAUUAUCUAGUUGGUGAGGUAACGGCUCACCAAGGCAACGAUACAUAGCCGACCUGAGAGGGUGAUCGGCCGCACAGGGACUGAGACACGGCCCAGACUCCUACGGGAGGCAGCAGUAGGGAAUGUUCGGCGAUGGACGGAAGUCUGACCGAGCAACGCCGCGUGAGUGAAGAAGGGUUUCGGAUCGUAAAGCUCUGUUGUAAGAGAAGAACGAGUGUGAGAGUGGAAAGUUCACACUGUGACGGUAUCUUACCAGAAAGGGACGGCUAACUACGUG
rnacentral:rRNA from 1 species